rnacentral:rRNA from 1 species
GUUGUGGUUAAAAAGCUCGUAGUUGGAUCUCAACAGCCUUGGAGCGGUUAACUUUGUAGUUUUACUGCUUUAUAGGCUGUGCUUUUGCUGGAGGUUUAGGGGUGCUCUUGAUCGAGUGUCUCUGGAUGCCAGCAGGUUUACUUUGAAAAAAUUAGAGUGCUCAAAGCAGGCUAAAAUGCCUGAAUAUUCGUGCAUGGAAUAAUAGAAUAGGAUGUCGAUCCUAUUUUGUUGGUUUUCGGGACUCGACAUAAUGAUAAAUAGGGACAGUCGGGGGCAUUUGUAUUCAAACGACAGAGGUGAAAUUCUUGGACCGUUUGAAGACAAACUACUGCGAAAGCAUUUGCCAAGAAUGUUUUCAUUAAUCAAGAACGAAAGUUAGAGGUUCGAAGGCGAUUAGAUACCGCCCUAGUUCUAACCAUAAACGAUGCCAGCUAGCGAUCUGCCUGCGUUUUUACUGUAGACUGGGCAGGAAGCUUCCGGGAAACCAAAGCAUUUGGGUUCCAGGGGAAGUAUGGUUGCAAAGCUGAGACUUAAAGGAAUUGACGGAAGGGCACCACCAGGAGUGGAGCCUGUGGCUUAAUUUGACUCAACACGGGAAAUCUCACCAGGCCCGGACACUGGAAG